rnacentral:lncRNA from 1 species
AUAAAGGGAAAACGGACUCACUAGGAGGACCUAGACUCUUUCAGCUUGAACUGUUAACCAAUGGUGGAAAUGCAAGAAUGCUGAAGUUGUUCCUUCGGAGCCAAUAGAGUGGAUUUGUGUGUCCCACAUGACUGUGUUUCCCCUGUCUUUCACAUGGGCAGUAUUUAGUUCAAUUCAGAACUGCAGAUAGUAUAGCGUGCAGAGCAGCAAUGGGAUGUCUGAGCACAAGUGGCUGACUUCCAGGCGACUUCAGGAAGCACAUUUUUACAUUUCUCCUGAAUUAAACUGGGAUUCUGCACCCUUGACAUCCUCCUACCCUCCUUGUCUCUGCAGGAGGAGACAGCGACCUGCACAGCACAACGAAACUAUUGCUUAAAAACAAAUGCAGAAGUUUGCUGCGAGGCAAAUGGAAGUUGGGCACCUUUGCCUUCCAGAGGUGGUAACUCUACCUUUCACUGAGAUUAGCAAAAUCUACAAAGUCUCUCUUCAAAACAAACGAGAGAAGUUUGGAAAAUUGCCAGCUCCUUGCACAAAGACUGAAAUGGGAUGGGCAGAGAAGUGUGUUGGUGGCGACAUUUGCGGAUGCUGUCAAGUCAAUGGACUUCUGUUGUAGUGGUUGCUUCAGUGAACAUUCAACGCUGUCGGCCUUAACACCGAAGAUAGCAACCUAACCACCACAUGAUGUUUCUCCCCCACUCUCUCAAGCUUUACCACAAAAGGUCACAAUCAACAUUCAUUGCUGUCGGUGGGUUUAACUAUGUGGACAAGCUCACUGAACAAUGAAUGCAACUGUGGCCCCACAUUUUACAGUUGCCAUUGAGAGGCACAUCAGCUCUGAAAGCAGUAGUGAGAAGCAAACACUUCUUAUAGGCUAUAUUUUUAUGGUAAAAAAAAAAAAAAAUAGUUGGGGAUAGUCACUUUUUGCUUGCGUGUUUGUAAAUGUGUUUAACUUCGCUGACUAGGAAAAAAAACACCUCACUGCCUUUUUCUGAAAUAUUGUCCUCCCAGGGAUAAGCAUCGUUGAAACGACAGUCAGUAUAUAGGUGGAAACUAAUAACAACAUGAAGAAAUUUGUGUAUAUUCACUCCUAAGGACUCUGAGCAUAAGAGGAAAGAAUAUUUAAAUCUUAUGUUAACUAGGCAUUGUGGAAUAGUUCAAAAAUUUCUUCUAUGCUUGUCACAGCAAAUGCAAAUGGGAGCCAGAGUUCAAAGACAUAGAUAAAAUAUUAUAUCAAAGGAUUCAUUAAUUUUAUACGAAACUGAUCUUAAGCACCUAAAUAAAUAUUAUUAGACAGCAAAUACUACUAUAUUU